CCUACGGGUGGCAGCAGUAGGGAAUCUUCCACAAUGGGCGAAAGCCUGAUGGAGCAACGCCGCGUGGGUGAAGAAGGUCUUCGGAUCGUAAAACUCUGUUGUCAGAGAAGAACGUGCGCGAGAGUAACUGUUCACGUUUCGACGGUAUCUAACCAGAAAGCCACGGCUACCUACGUGCCAGCAGCCGCGGUAAUACGUAGGUGGCAAGCGUUAUCCGGAUUUAGUGGGCGUAAAGGGAACGCAGGCGGUCUUUUAAGUCUGAUGUGAAAGCCGUCGGCUUAACCGGAGUAGUGCAUUGGAAACUGGGAAACUUGAGUGCAGAAGAGGAGAGUGGAACUCCAUGUGUAGCGGGGAAAUGCGUAGAUAUAUGGAAGAACACCAGUGGCGAAGGCGACUCUCUGGUCUGUAACUGACGCUGAGGUUCGAAAGCGUGGGUAGCAAACAGGAUUAGAUACCCCAGUAGUC
rnacentral:rRNA from 1 species